rnacentral:rRNA from 1 species
UAGGGAAUAUUAGAAAUGGACGAAAGUCUGAUCUAGCAACACCGCGUGUGCGAAGAAGGCCUUUGGGUCGUAAAGCACUUUUUGGAGGGAAUAGGAAGGAAUGUACUUCCAGAAUAAGUCUCGGCUAACUACGUGCCAGCAGCCGCGGUAACACGUAGGAGGCAAACGUUAUCCGGAUUUACUGGGCGUAAAGCGCGUGUAGGUGGUACUGUAAGUAGGGCGUGAAAGCUCCUGGCUCAACUGGGAGAGGCCGUUCUAAACUACAGAACUAGAGGAUGGUAGAGGGAGGUGGAAUUCCAGGUGUAGUGGUGGAAUGCGCAGAUAUCUGGAGGAACACCGGUGGCGAAGGCGGCCUCCUGGACCAUUCCUGACACUCAGACGCGAAAGCUAGGGUAGCAAACGG